rnacentral:lncRNA from 10 species
GGGUAAUAUCCAUCAUCUCAAACUUUUAUCAUUUCUUUGUGUUGGGAACAUUCAAUAUCCUUUUUCCAGCUGUUAUUGAACCUAGCGAGGUUCUGCUCACAUGGCAUCAUAAGGCCAAAUAUUUAUAUCGAGGUUUGUAGUGGAAUAAAAGAGGGUAUUUAUUUGUAGACGACCAAGUAAAAGAAUUGGGCAUCUCAUGCUUAAGAGCUGACCUUGGUUGGGUGCAACAGCUCAUGCCUAUAAUCCCAGCACACUGUGGGGCCAAGGCAGGAGGAUCACUUGAGUCCAGGAGUUUGAGACCAGCCUGGGCAAUAUAGUGAGACACAUGGUCUCUACAGAAAAAUUAGCUGAGUGUGGUGGUGUGUACCUG